AUUGAACGCUGGCGGCAUGCCUUACACAUGCAAGUCGAACGGCAGCACGGGAGCAAUCCUGGUGGCGAGUGGCGAACGGGUGAGUAAUAUAUCGGAACGUGCCCAGUCGUGGGGAUAACGUAGCGAAAGCUACGCUAAUACCGCAUACGAUCUACGGAUGAAAGCGGGGGAUCGCAAGACCUCGCGCGAUUGGAGCGGCCGAUAUCAGAUUAGGUAGUUGGUGAGGUAAAGGCUCACCAAGCCGACGAUCUGUAGCUGGUCUGAGAGGACGACCAGCCACACUGGGACUGAGACA
rnacentral:rRNA from 1 species